CCAAUAAGGUUACCAAUAAGGAUGCCAAUAAGGUUACCAAUAAGGAUGCCAAUAAGGUUACCAAUAAGGAUGCCAAUAAGGUUACCAAUAAGGAUGCCAAUAAGGUUACCAAUAAGGAUGCCAAUAAGGUUACCAAUAAGGAUGCCAAUAAGGUUACCAAUAAGGAUGCCAAUAAGGUUACCAAUAAGGAUGCCAAUAAGGUUACCAAUAAGGAUGCCAAUAAGGUUACCAAUAAGGAUGCCAAUAAGGUUACCAAUAAGGAUGCCAAUAAGG